CAAGGAUAUCCCUACCGGCCUAACCCGGGCGACGCUAGGCCAAUUGUGCGUCGCCCCUUGGACCUCCCAGUCGCAGCCGGAUGCGAACCCAGAGUCUGGUGGCACUGCGAUGCCUUCGACCACUGCGCCACCCGGGAGGCCCACAAGUUAUAUUUUACGUUGAACAGAACACACACCACACCAAUGUUUCACACAUGAAACCAAAGGAAUGCCAAGUAGAUUUGAACCUUGAGUUUGUCUUGGCUGCAGUAGUGUCAUUGAUUCUACUCAUCGCUAGAUGGCGCUGUUGUCUUUCCCAUAUGAUUGCACACAAAGAACCAGGUAGGUUUGCGCAAUGUAAUUCUUGUACGUUUCCUUAAUUUAUGACGCUUGUACACUAUAUCAAAUAAUGACUCUCUUUGCAUUUUAUACUCUUGCCAAACUUUGUAAUAACCAUUUUCUCUCACCAGAACUACAAGAUCACUGGACCGUAGACCGCAGUGCUGAAAUGAAGCAACAGCAGCUGUGAAAUGUAUAAUUUGGAGACUACAGGCUACUAAAUGCAGUAAUUUUCUUGUCAAGACGAGACGACCUCAAACUUGAAAUGACACACACGUCUAAGAGAGGCUGAGGACAGAGGUGUCAGAGG
ensembl:lncRNA